GCUCCUGCCGUGAGGGGCCCCUCUGAGCAGCCUCGCCCAGCACAAGCCGGCUGCCCUGCCCUUCCCGUCCCCCCUCCCCCCACCAAGCUGCCCCGAGGCCCAGCGUCCAGGGGCUGGGGGCAGGAGGGCUCAGGGAAGGCAGCAGGCAGGGGUCCCCCAGGAGCACAGUCUCGCUCUCAGGCACAGGGGGUGUACCCAGCAGUUGUCUGCUGACUCCGCCCUGGGCGUCCUGCUCAGGGCACCCCAGGCACCUGAACGGCCAAUCGCCUGGCCUGGCGCGCCUUCUCCUCCCGGACCUUCCUCCUGGCCGCCUCCUUCUGUUGCUGCAGGUCCGGCAGGUUCCUGUCUCCCAGCUGCUGCCGCUGUUCCUGUGGAACCACAGCUGGUUUGAUGGCGAAGGGUCGUACGACUGGCAGUGUGACCCAGAUUUAGAGCAUUUCUGUCACCCCCGGAAGGACCCCCUUCUGCAGCCACGGGCCCCAGGCAGCUGUGGCUCUAUUUCUGCCUUCUCCCGAUUUGCCUCUUCCUGACAUUUUCUUAAGUGGAAAUUUCUAUCAGGGGAGCUUCAGGCUCCCUCCCGGCCCCCCGCCCGCGGUCACCUCUCAGCCUCCUCCUCUGUCACCUCCUUCCGUCUGAGCAGACCCGGGGUGGCCCCGGCGUUGUUCUGGGCCACGUGGUUGCUGCUGGAAAAGUUCUUGUGUGGCUUCCCGGAGCCGCCACUCUCCCCCUCACCGGUGGCCGCCUUGAGGAUAUUGCUAACGGGAAGAGAAGAAGGGGCUCGCUGCGCCGGCCCAGGCCCACUCACGGCCCCGGUGGGCAGCUCUGCCUUCGAGAAGCGGGGCUGCCUCAGCCCCAUCCCAGGGCCUUGGGCCUGGAAGGACACACCCACAGGACAUUGGGAGUGGGCACGGCCCCCGGUUCCCACACGCUAGUCGAUCCCCAGGACCACCUGCCCCCCACACAGGGCCCACGUCGUGGGUUACUGGGCUCUUUCCGUUACAAAAAGCAAAGAGGUCUGGGGCAUCUGGGUAGCUCAGGCAGUUAAGCAUCCCACUCUCGACUUGGGCUCAGGUCACGAUCUCAUGGUUCAUGAGGUUGAGCCUCGUGUCGGGUUCUGUUGAUAGUGUGGAGUCUGCUUGGGAUCCUCUCUCUCUCUCUCUCUCUCUCUCUCUCUCUCUCUCUCUCUCUCUGUCUGCUCCUUCCCCCAACCCUGUACAUAUGUGCACAUGCCCACAAGCACAUGCCCACGUGUGUCGCUCUCUCUCAAAAUAAAUAAACAAAAAAAAUAA